rnacentral:lncRNA from 1 species
GCCCUAUGCUCUGUUUGGAAAGCUGCUUUCUCCCUGUCCUCUUGGCUCUGAGGUGGAUAAGUAGAUUUUCCAUCCUUUGGUCAGUGCCAAUGACUCGGGCCAAAGGAACAGAUGUGAAGUGCAGCCCUCCAAGAGCGAAGUCUGGUCAGAUGAAAACUUUUCCUAGGACAGCUUUUUUCAUGCCUGGCCUCACUGGCAAGCAGAAGAAUGGAUGAGAGACAGCAGCCAUAUGCCAGACCCAUGGCAGACACUCGGCAAUUACAAAUGCUUUGCAAGCAUGCUUGUGACUCAAGAACAGAAGUGAAAGGAAGUGUCGGUCUUCUGCACUCUGCCACAGCAAGAAAAAUAUGAGCCCAAAUCCACCAGGUCCCCCUGACUCAAAGCCUAACCCGAAACACAGAGAAAUCACGUACACUCAUGCCUUCUUCAAACUUCGCUUUUCAGAUCUGGAAGCUAAAAGACGCAGCAACAAUGACUACAUGAAAACUGCUUAAGACCUUUCUUAAAACAGGCAGUGAACUGGUUCUUUGUAAUAAGAGGAUGAAGCAGAAUAUUCCAUAUUUAAUUAGCAAUCUUAAGAAAGUGAAUUAACACCUUCCUUCUGAGGUGUUGCCAGUCAAACACAGUUGGAUUCCCAUUUUUUGGAGGCUUGGAGGCCUGUUUGGGAGAGGUCAUUGACAGUAAAUUGCUAGGACACAUGAUACAAGGCAUCACACAAGGAAACAUUGUGGAAGCUAACAUUUUUCCACAAAACACAAGAGAGAAAACAGAAGCAGAUUGAACAGCAAUGGUACUUAGUGUUACCCCCAGCUUAUAAAUUCCUUUUGGGCAGGAGUGCUAUAUAAUUCAUUUUUGAAUUUCCCUAAUGGCACAUGCUCGGGCACAUUGAAGGCAUUCGAUAUAUGUUUGUUAUUUUUUAACAAAAUUGAAUGGGAAUUGAAAUUUAGUGUGAUAAGAAAAGAUAACCCAUGUAUUUGAGUGUUUAUAUUUUGUAAACCUUGCUCUAAUCGUGCAUCAAGCUGUUAGUAAUUAGUAAAUGCUCAAAGAACUAUUUGUUGUGAAAUUAGUAAAAUUAUUCUCUGAAACAGCAUCUGAUACCAUAAAUACCUCUUAAGACUUUUCAUCAGUGUGCUAAGCUAUGCUUUUAUGCUUGUAGAUAGUAAAAAAAAAAAAAUCUUCUUCUGAAGGCUUUCUGAAUUCUUUCUUCACAUCACAAUGUAAUGUAUUUUCAAGGUUACAUUAGUUACUAUAUUUAUACAUGAAUUUGUGUGUAGAUGUAUAUGUGUAUAUACACUCAUAUAUUAUACAUCACAUAUUUACAUAUAACUGUCAUAUAUAUGAACUUUUUAAAUACAAAAACAUAAUCUAUACUCCAUGUAACACUUCCCCACUAACACACAUACCAAUAUAAAGAGUCAUUUUACUCAUUACUAAACAAACAAAAAAUAGUUCUUGAAACCAAAACCCAUAAUGUAUACUUUGUGUUUCCUUGGUUAUCCUCAUCUAGAAAAAGUCUCUCUGAGUGACUCACACGGCCACAAGGAAUCAUUGCCAUUAAAUUGGCAGCAGUUUUCUGAAAUGUGGCAUGGUGAUGACAAGGGAAUGAAUAUUUUAUCUAAUUCCUGCCUAACAAAUGUAAACUUUCAAAUUAAUUGAAGAUAGAAAAGAAAACACUCUGGGCACUAUUUUAUAAACUUAAUACCUCCUUUAAUUACCUCGGCAAUUCCCUGAGUAGUGACGUGGGGACCUUAGCUGCUCCCAUCCUAUCACUAAGCCAUCUUUAUUGUGCCUUCCAAGGUUAACACAAAAAGGAUAAAGGUCUGAAGAAUUUCAUGGAGUUUUUCUAAGACUUCCUGGAAUUUUUUCUGAAUCUCUCCCACUCAUAUCCCAUCAGCCAGAUGUCACAUAGCCAUAUGCAAGGGAAGCUGGGAAAUAGAGUCUUCCUCUGUGUGUCCCAGGAAUGAGGACACAUGGUAAGCCAGAUUUUAUCAGAGUUAAAGGCAGCACUGUCCCUGCCAUAGUUACUAUUAUCAUUACCCCUUAGAGUUACACCACAUCAACAUUAUCUUUUACGUUUUAGCCAAACGAUUAACUCUACAGUGAAACCUUCCAAUAAUGUGCCCCACAGAAUAAAAACCCAGGCACGAGUCAGUCAUUCACAGCAACUGGCUAACUCUGGUCACCUCAAAAACUUCACAAUAGGGCAACCCUAUAUUUUAUGUGAUUAAUUGUUUUGGACCCAAGCUAUAAUGCUAUGGCUAGUUUCUACUAUAUUUAUAAUACCUUUUUGAAUGUGUUAAUAGUUCCCAAGAAGUACAGUCAAAUCUGUCCUCUAGUGUGAGUCACUAAAAGUGAUUAUUGAUGAACCAUAGGUUGCUGGAGAAGCUGAAUUAUAGUGUAUCAAUUUGUGAUGAUAUAUAAAGAAUGAGAAUGAGAUGAAGUAAAAAUAUAGAAAUAACAUUCUGAUUCCACCCCUUAUUAACUUUAUGUCUCAGUGUCUCAGUUUCCUUAUCUAUAAUUUAUAUCUGUAUGAAAUAAAAAAAUAGAGCAAAUAAUGCUGACAUUUUGUCUAGUAUUAAGGAAUAAAUAUAGUCAUAUUUAAUUAUUAAAAUAACUCUAAAAUAAACACAAUUUCUAUUCCUAUUUUAUGUAAAAAGAAGCUAAAGUUAUAUAACUUGUCCAAGGUCACACAGCUAGGAAGUGUUAGAAAUAGGAUUCAAACUCAGAUCUAUAUGAUUCCAAAGUCCAGAAUCCAUCAUGCUCCUUCUUAAAGAACUCUGCCAUUUUCGAAAUCAGCAGCAAUGUUGAUAUGGUUUGGUUCUGUGUCUUCAUCCAAAUCUCAUGUAGAAUUGUAAUUCCCAGUGUUGAAAGAGGGCCCUGGUUGUGGAUGAUUGAAUCACAGGGGCAGACUUCCCUCUUGCUGUUCUUGUGAUACAGUGCUCACAAGAUCUGAUUACUGGAAAGCGCGUGACACUACACCCUUAGCUCUCUCUCUCUGCCGUGUGAAGAAGGAGCUUGCCUCCACUUUGCCCUUCAGCCAUAAUUGUAAGUUUCCUGAGGCUUCCUCAACCAUGCUUUCUGUACAGCCUCUAAGACUGUGAGUCAAGUAAACCUCUUUUCUUCAUAAAUUAACCAGUCUCAGGUAGUUCUUUAUAGCAAUGUGAGAACGGACUAAUACAGAUGUUGUUGUUAUGGUUAUAAUUAUACCAUCAAUCUUAGCUUUUCUAUUUUGUCCUAGGAAAACUUUCUUCUUUAAUCAUUUAAACAAAGUUUUGCUAUGAACCACUUGGAAAAUAAAAAAGCAGAUAGCUCAAAACAUUGAUAGAGUUUAAAGAAUCAUCAGAGAUAUAGAGAGCAUUUAAUUUGCAAUUCAAAUGGCACUUCUGGUACUACAUAUGUAAGAUACUAAUAAAUACUGAGUGCAGGUAGGCCUCUGCCUUGAUUCCAGGUAGGCCUCUGCCUUGAUUCCACAAGUCUUCAGUUUCAGGUGGUCCAAAAUUCAAGGUGAGAUCAUCUUCCUUAGAAUGUUAAGUAGGUUUACACUGUUUCCUUUUCUCUAUAAAUUUGUUUUUGCAAGCCCCACUUUUUAAAUCUUAUUUUUUAAUAUUUUUUACCAACAUUUUCUCUCUUAUACAAUACUCAUUUUAUUGAGGGGUGUGAGAAUGUGUUAUGUAAAGCCUCUGUUUAAAAAAAUCUGGUUCUGUGACAUUCUACAUCAACUCAUUUUUUAUUACAUAAAUAUAGUUUUAAGGGAGAGAGAAUAAAGUGAGAGUGAAAGAGACGCAAGAAAGAGAGAAAACGAGAAAGAGAGAGAGAGAGAUCAAAGUGCCCUGGUCUUUCCCCUGAAUCUUACCAGUUCAUCAUUUUUGUCUGCCUCACUCUAGGUGACAUGUGACAGGGCAGCAGAUGGUCCCCAAAUCCAAAAAUUGACUAUUUCUAGGGGUGAAAAUUGGUAUAAUGUAUAUCACAGUCUGGUAAGAUAUAAAACAGCUGUACUCUGACAUUCCUAAUAAAGAUUAUUAUAUAAAAUACUCAGGGAAUCAUGCAGAUACAAUUUUUGACAAUAAUCUGGGGUACUGGUACAUGAUAUCUAAUCCUUAAUGAAAGGACACAUUUAGAAAUUUAGAAAUUUCACUAGUCUAUAGAACAAAAAGGCAGAGAGAAGCAGUUUAAGAAAAUCUUUUACAUGCUAAAAAUAUGGGGCUUUGACAGUUAAUGGAGAUAUACCUUGCUUUACACAAUAGCAUAGGAAAACGGGAAUCUCAAUGUAUCUGCUUCUCAGGUGAUUAACUGAGACUCAGAUAAGUUAAGUGCCCUCCGCAGAAAGGAAUAGAAUUUCCACUCCUGACUCCCCACCCACAGGCCCAGCACUUCUCCCACCCAACUUUCAGAGCAGCCUGAUCCAGCUCUGCUGCUGCAGCAAGCUCAAAAAGUCCCCAUCUUGAAAAGUUAUUUCUCAUUUCUCAUUUAUAUUACUAAUAUUUUCAGCUUCCUUAUCCUCACUUCUCAUUAUUCAAAAUAUUUUAACAAAUACAUUUGUAAGUGUGUCUGCACAUAUCUAAACAUAUAUAAAAUUUUGUCCAGCAGAAAAUGUGUUUAUGUAAUAAGCUGCAUAGGAUGACUAACUGUGUGGGAUUUCAUUCAGAAAAAAAAAAAAAUAGUGGGGAAAGAGGAGUUAAUCCUAACUGCAUAGGAUUUCAUUUGGAAAAAAGUGGAAAAAUGAGAGAAUCUUAUGGAUUAAAAAAGUUGAAAAAGAAUAUAGACAACCCAUAAUCCCUUAUUUUAUUACAACAUAUUAAAAACUAAAGAAAGCUGCGUUUAUGGAAUAUAGCCCAUGUGUACACACUGUGCACAGCACUUUGCAGACCUCUGUCAUUCUGUCUUGGCAACAAGCCUAUAAGCAAGUAUUUAUUAUGCCCCUUUUCGUAAACAAGGACACUGUCAAUUGUACACUUAAGCAAUAGUUACAUGGUAGAGGUGGGAUUGAAACCUAGGUGUGCCUGAUGCUUUCCAGCAUACUGUGCUGUCUCUUCCUUCCUACAUUUUUAAACUGGUAACCUUGUGGGGAUUAAUGAGCUCCUUGACUUUAUAACCUGCUAGGUGAAGCAGCACAUUCAUUUAACUACCCUCAAUCCACUGCUUUGGUGUGAUAUUUAGAAUUCUCUCUUUGAAGCAAAAAGGGAGUAUUUAUUUCAUCUAUUUACUUCAUGCAUUUAUUAAUUUCAACCUGCAAAUAUCUGUAGUACCUUGAUUUGAACUUCAAAGAAACAAUAUAAUGUGUGAAGAAUAUAUGGAAUUUGUAUUUCUGUUAGAUGAAUCCUGAUUUCCUUGGCUAAUAUUGUCUACUCUUGAUAAUCUAUGGUUCUAGCAAACAAUAAAAAACUAUAAAUUAGAUCAAUAAAUG